rnacentral:SRP_RNA from 1 species
CGGGAGAUCGGCGUGGGCGUGACGUUCGCCAAUCCGGUCAGAGCCGAAAGGCAGCAGCCGUAACGAUACGUGCGGGUCAUGUCCGGUCUCUCAUAU